rnacentral:rRNA from 1 species
GUGCCAGCCGCCGCGGUAAUACGAAGGGGGCUAGCGUUGCUCGGAAUCACUGGGCGUAAAGGGCGCGUAGGCGGCGUUUUAAGUCGGGGGUGAAAGCCUGUGGCUCAACCACAGAAUGGCCUUCGAUACUGGGACGCUUGAGUAUGGUAGAGGUUGGUGGAACUGCGAGUGUAGAGGUGAAAUUCGUAGAUAUUCGCAAGAACACCGGUGGCGAAGGCGGCCAACUGGACCAUUACUGACGCUGAGGCGCGAAAGCGUGGGGAGCAAACAGGAUUAGAAACCCCCGUAGUCC